AUGAUUCCUUCUCUAGAAUACCUGAUUCCAGACCACGAGACUGAUGUACUUUGUGAAAAUCCAGGGUUUGGGUGCUGUGGUCAGUGGAAUUGCAGCGUGGACUCCAACAUACUGGUAAGUUGUGUUUCUGAAACUGUCCCAAAUGGCACCCUCUAUAGUGCACUACUUUUGACCAGAGCUUUAAGGACCCUAGUCAGAAGUAGUGCACUAGAAAGGGAGGUCUUUCCCAGAAUAACAAUCGUUCUCUGCAACCACAUGAUAAACCUUUUGGAAUCUCGUUUGUCUGAAUUCCUGUUGAUGUUAAAUGACCUGACACCCUGCUGAGUAGUCUAGUUAAAUGUCCUCUACAUUUUUUUUGUUUGUUUUACAGUUGACUGUCCUGAAACAAGAUGGCUGUUCUGGGCUGCUUUUAAACCUCUACAGGAUCAGUGUCCUGAAAUCUGGACAGCUGCUGCUCAAUAUGUGACUAGAAAGGCAUUCUAAACAACAGCCAACUUUCCGGGACAUCGACAUGUCUUAUAUCGUCAGAAAGCUUAAAUAUUUGUUAAUCUAACCGCAGUAUCUAAUAUACAGUAGCUAUUCCAGUGGGACAAAAUACCAUGCUAUUGUUUGGGGAUAGUGCACAACAACAAAACGCUUAUCAAUGCUACUUGUUUGAUACAUUCACCUCUGACAUAUUGGCUACACAACACGUCAAUUAGCCUAAUGAAGGUAAGCCGUCGUUAGGCACCAAUGAGACCAGCGGUGUCCACUUGAUUGACAGUCUUGGUUCAAGGACCACAUAUCAUUUUGAAACCGAUCUAGCUAGAUAGCCAAUGAGCUGGGCUUUCCAGCAGCAUGUGAACGCCUUUUGUACUACAAACAACCAUCAUGCUAGAGCAGUGGGCAACAGUGUUCAUUCUCUGGUGAAAGCAAACAGGACUCACGGUAGUUAAUGAUACGCAGUGGUUCGUUCUCUUCUACAAACUUUUGUCAAAACUAAAAAAAGAACAUGGCUACUACUAGUGGAAAAGCUACAUCCAAGUUUACAAAUUUGGAUGAGAACAUUGCAGAAAUGGACUGGGAGAGUGACAUAGAACUGAUGGAUGAGGACUCCAUGAGUGAGUACAGUUUUGAUUCCAGUGAGGAAGAAAUGUUUUUGGAAGGAGAAGAUCCACUUUUAGAUCAGUAAGUAAAAUAGGUUUUUGCAUCUCAUGCUAAUGCAGUUGUUUAAAUGGUUGCAUAUUCAUUUGAGAUAUUUCUAUAUAGUUAUAUGGACCUGAGGCAUAUAAUGUAUUAGCAUAGCCUAUGUGUAUUUUCUGUUGGCUAUGACAUGCUGUUGUUUUUGAGUGUCUUAAUGCCUGUUGGUCCACAUAUUUCAUUAUAGUGAUUGUGUUCCCCAUACUCUAUAUAAUAUAGAUGAGUGCUGUGUAUUUGAUAUAUUGACGCAGUGCUCACUCCCUGCUAAAAUAAAGGUUAAAUAAAAUAAGGAAUAGGAACUUGAGUUCUAAACAUUUUAUUUAUUUUUUUAAUCCUCAAUAGAUGUAGAGACUCUGAUGACCUGUGGGAGCCACCUCCAAAGAAACCACAUUCAAGUCCAUCCCACACUGAUUCAAACAUAGGAAGUGGUUCCUCCAGUCUGACCCCUGCUGCUGUCUCUGGCUCCACACCCA
rnacentral:lncRNA from 8 species